GUACUCGCUUCAGCGGUACAUCUACUAAAAUUUGAACGAUACAGUGAAAAUUAGCAAGGCCCCUGAGCAAGAAUGGCACGCAAAAUUGUGAAGCGUCACGAUAGCCG
rnacentral:snRNA from 1 species